rnacentral:rRNA from 1 species
GACGAACGCUGGCGGCGUGCCUAAUACAUGCAAGUUGAGCGCUGAAGGUUGGUACUUGUACCAACUGGAUGAGCAGCGAACGGGUGAGUAACGCGUGGGGAAUCUGCCUUUGAGCGGGGGACAACAUUUGGAAACGAAUGCUAAUACCGCAUAAAAACUUUAAACACAAGUUUUAAGUUUGAAAGAUGCAAUUGCAUCACUCAAAGAUGAUCCCGCGUUGUAUUAGCUAGUUGGUGAGGUAAAGGCUCACCAAGGCGAUGAUACAUAGCCGACCUGAGAGGGUGAUCGGCCACAUGGGGACUGAGACACGGCCCAAACACCUACGAGAGGCAGCAGUAGGGAAUCUUCGGCAAUGGACGAAAGGCUGACCGAGCAACGCCGCGUGAGUGAAGAAGGUUUUCGGAUCGUAAAACUCUGUUAGUAGAGAAGAACGUUGGUGAGAGUGGAAAGCUCAUCAAGUGACGGUAACUACCCAGAAAGGGACGGCUAACUACGUG